GGGGGGGGGGGGGGGGGGGGGGGGGGGGUGGGGGGCGGGGGGGCGGGGGGGGGGCUUGCGGGGCGGACGUUCGCGGCGGCCGGGGGAGUACCACGUGGGUAACCUACCGGUAAGACUGGGCUAACUUCGUGACACCGAACCUCAUACCGGAGACUCUAUUCCCCGUCGUGGUUCACUAGUGUGCGCCGCUUGUUCUAUACCUUAUCGAUGUAUCCGCGCCGCAUCAGCUAGUUGGUAAGGUAACGGCUUACCACGGCAACGAUGCGUAGCCGACCUGAGAGGGUGAUCGGUCACACUGGAACUGAGACACGGUCCAGACUCCUACGGGAGGCAGCAGUAGGGAAUCUUCCGCAAUGGGCGAAAGCCUGACGGAGCAACGCCGCGUGAGUGAUGAAGGUCUUCGGAUCGUAAAACUCUGUUAUUAGGGAAGAACAAAUGUGUAAGUAACUAUGCACGUCUUGACGGUACCUAAUCAGAAAGCCACGGCUAACUACGUG
rnacentral:rRNA from 1 species